rnacentral:rRNA from 1 species
CCUACGGGAGGCAGCAGUGGGGAAUAUUGGACAAUGGGCGCAAGCCUGAUGCAGCAACGCCGCGUGAAGGAAGAAGGCUUUCGGGUUGUAAAGUACUUUUGACGGGGAAGAGGAGACGACGGUACCUGACGAAUAAGACACGGCUAACUAGGUGCCAGCAGCCGCGGUAAUACGUAGGUGGCAAGCGUUGUCCGGAUUUACUGGGUGUAAAGGGCGUGGAGCCGGGUUGUCAAGUCAGAUGUGAAAUCCCGGGGCUUAACCUCAGAACUGCAUCUGAAACUGGUGGUCUUGAGGACCGGAGAGGGAGGCGGAAUUCCUGGUGUAGCGGUGAAAUGCGUAGAGAUUUGGAGGAAUACCAGUGGCGAAGGCGGCCCCCUGGACGAAGACUGACGGUCAGGUGCGAAAGCGUGGGGAGCAAACAGGAUUAGAUACCCCAGUAGUC